rnacentral:misc_RNA from 1 species
GUGGUGUUUGGAUCGUCCCUGCCGGCUGGCUCCGUGCCCGUCCACCGAACGGUCUUGCAGGCGAUCCGCUUCGGUCGUGCGGGGUGGUAUGGUUCCUCCGAGUCCGGUUCUUGUGCUGCCUACCCCUUCAAGGGAAGCGGGCCACUUAAUGCAAAAGCCUCCAUCCGGCGCCCUGCAGUGGGCGCAGGAGGACAACCGAGCACCCCCCGCGUUCCACCGAGCCUUCCCGGUCGUGUGGCCCGCGGGGACGUGCGAUGCUCUCGGACCCAGCGAACGCCGUGGGCGAGGACUCACGUCCCAGUCCCAAAGAGAAGCUUCGAUAUAAUGCAUGACGGCCGCUCCCGUCCCCCGACCGCCCCGGCGGCGAGGGGGCGAGGCGCGGCGUCGCGGAGGAAUGCUACCUGGUUGAUCCUGCCAGUAGUCAUAUGCUUGUCUCAAAGAUUAAGC